rnacentral:rRNA from 1 species
UACACUCCUGCGGGAGGCAGCAGUGGGGAAUUUUGGACAAUGGGCGAAAGCCUGAUCCAGCAAUGCCGCGUGAGUGAAGAAGGCCUUCGGGUUGUAAAGCUCUUUUGUCAGGGAAGAAACGGUGAAAGCUAAUAUCUUUUGCUAAUGACGGUACCUGAAGAAUAAGCACCGGCUAACUACGUGCCAGCAGCCGCGGUAAUACGUAGGGUGCAAGCGUUAAUCGGAAUUACUGGGCGUAAAGCGUGCGCAGGCGGUUUUGUAAGUCUGAUGUGAAAUCCCCGGGCUCAACCUGGGAAUUGCAUUGGAGACUGCAAGGCUAGAAUCUGGCAGAGGGGGGUAGAAUUCCACGUGUAGCAGUGAAAUGCGUAGAUAUGUGGAGGAACACCGAUGGCGAAGGCAGCCCCCUGGGUCAAGAUUGACGCUCAUGCACGAAAGCGUGGGGAGCAAACAGGAUUAGAUACCCUUGUAGUCCCAUG